UUGGGGUAGCCCCCAAAAUAUUGGGACAUAUAAAAAAAAGACAACUCUGUUCCGCAAAGUAGCUGUUGACAUUAUAGUUGUACAGGCACUUUGUUGACUCUAGAGAACCUUGGGCCAAUCGCACAUCCCCGUGGCGGUGACUUUUCAUGCGGAUGUCAUCCAUAUCAACUUUCGAUGCCAGUUUCUGCGCCUACCAUGGUGACCACGGGUAACGGGGAAUCAGGAUUCCAUUCCGUACAGGGAGCCUGAGAAACAGCUACCACAUGCAAGGAAGGCAGCAGGCGCGCAAAUGACCCACUCCCUACGCAGGAAGGUAGUGACGA